UACGUAGGGUGCAAGCGUUGUCCGGAAUUAUUGGGCGUAAAGAGCUCGUAGGCGGUCUGUUGCGUCGGCUGUGAAAACCCGGGGCUCAACUCCAGGCCUGCAGCCGAUACGGGCAGACUAGAGUUCGGCAGGGGAGACUGGAAUUCCUGGUGUAGCGGUGAAAUGCGCAGAUAUCAGGAGGAACACCGGUGGCGAAGGCGGGUCUCUGGGCCGAUACUGACGCUGAGGAGCGAAAGCGUGGGGAGCAAACAGG
rnacentral:rRNA from 1 species